UACAGGCUUAACACAUGCAAGUCGAGGGGCAGCAUGGUCUUAGCUUGCUAAGGCCGAUGGCGACCGGCGCACGGGUGAGUAACACGUAUCCAACCUGCCGUCUACUCUUGGACAGCCUUCUGAAAGGAAGAUUAAUACAAGAUGGCAUCAUGAGUCCGCAUGUUCACAUGAUUAAAGGUAUUCCGGUAGACGAUGGGGAUGCGUUCCAUUAGAUAGUAGGCGGGGUAACGGCCCACCUAGUCUUCGAUGGAUAGGGGUUCUGAGAGGAAGGUCCCCCACAUUGGAACUGAGACACGGUCCAAACUCCUACGGGAGGCAGCAGUGAGGAAUAUUGGUCAAUGGGCGAGAGCCUGAACCAGCCAAGUAGCGUGAAGGAUGACUGCCCUAUGGGUUGUAAACUUCUUUUAUAAAGGAAUAAAGUCGGGUAUGCAUACCCGUUUGCAUGUACUUUAUGAAUAAGGAUCGGCUAACUCCGUGCCAGCAGCCGCGGUAAUACGGAGGAUCCGAGCGUUAUCCGGAUUUAUUGGGUUUAAAGGGAGCGUAGAUGGAUGUUUAAGUCAGUUGUGAAAGUUUGCGGCUCAACCGUAAAAUUGCAGUUGAUACUGGAUAUCUUGAGUGCAGUUGAGGCAGGCGGAAUUCGUGGUGUAGCGGUGAAAUGCUUAGAUAUCACGAAGAACUCCGAUUGCGAAGGCAGCCUGCUAAGCUGCAACUGACAUUGAGGCUCGAAAGUGUGGGUACCAAACAGGAUUAGAUACCCUGGUAGUCCACACGGUAAACGAUGAAUACUCGCUGUUUGCGAUAUACAGCAAGCGGCCAAGCGAAAGCGUUAAGUAUUCCACCUGGGGAGUACGCCGGCAACGGUGAAACUCAAAGGAAUUGACGGGGGCCCGCACAAGCGGAGGAACAUGUGGUUUAAUUCGAUGAUACGCGAGGAACCUUACCCGGGCUUAAAUUGCAGAUGAAUUACGGUGAAAGCCGUAAGCCGCAAGGCAUCUGUGAAGGUGCUGCAUGGUUGUCGUCAGCUCGUGCCGUGAGGUGUCGGCUUAAGUGCCAUAACGAGCGCAACCCUUGUUGUCAGUUACUAACAGGUUCCGCUGAGGACUCUGACAAGACUGCCAUCGUAAGAUGUGAGGAAGGUGGGGAUGACGUCAAAUCAGCACGGCCCUUACGUCCGGGGCUACACACGUGUUACAAUGGGGGGUACAGAGGGCCGCUACCACGCGAGUGGAUGCCAAUCCCAAAAACCUCUCUCAGUUCGGACUGGAGUCUGCAACCCGACUCCACGAAGCUGGAUUCGCUAGUAAUCGCGCAUCAGCCACGGCGCGGUGAAUACGUUCCCGGGCCUUGUACACACCGCCCGUCAAGCCAUGGGAGCCGGGGGUACCUGAAGUGCGUAACCGCGAGGAGCGCCCUAGGGUAAAACUGGUGACUGGGGCU
rnacentral:rRNA from 1 species